rnacentral:rRNA from 1 species
GAUGAACGCUGGCGGCGUGCCUAAUACAUGCAAGUCGAGCGAACGGACGAGAAGCUUGCUCCUCUGAUGUUUGCGGCGGACGGGCGAGUAACACGUGGAUAACCUACCUAUAUGUCUGGGAUAACUUCGGGAAACCGGAGCUAAUACCGGAUAAUAUUUUGAACCGCAUGGUUCAAAAGUGAAAGACGGUCUUGCUGUCACUUAUAGAUGGAUCCGAGCUGCAUUAGCUAGUUGGUAAGGUAACGGCUUACCAAGGCAACGAUGCGUAGCCGACCUGAGAGGGUGAUCGGCCACACUGGAACGGAGACACGGUCCAGACUCCUACGGGAGGCAGCAGUAGGGAAGCUUGCGCAAUGGGCGAAAGCCUGACGGAGCAACACGGCGUGAGAGACGAAGGUCUUCGGAUCGUAAAACUCUGUUAUUAGGUAAGAACAGAUGUGUAAGUAACUGUACACAUCUUGACGGUAACUAAUCAGAAAGCCACGGCUAACUACGUG